rnacentral:rRNA from 1 species
UAAGGAAUAUUGGACAAUGGACGAAAGUCUGAUCCAGCCAUCCCGCGUGCAGGAUGAAUGCCCUAUGGGUUGUAAACUGCUUUUGGAAGGGAAGAAGCGCCUCGAUUUAUCGGGGCCUGACGGUACCUUCAGAAUAAGCACCGGCUAACUCCGUGCCAGCAGCCGCGGUAAUACGGAGGGUGCAAGCGUUAUCCGGAAUCACUGGGUUUAAAGGGUGCGUAGGCGGCGCAAUAAGUCAGAGGUGAAAGCCUGCAGCUCAACUGUAGAAUUGCCUUUGAUACUGCUGCGCUUGAAUCAGGUUGAGGUUGGCGGAAUGUGGCAUGUAGCGGUGAAAUGCAUAGAUAUGCCAUAGAACACCAAUUGCGAAGGCAGCUGACUGGACCUGUAUUGACGCUGAGGCACGAAAGCGUGGGGAGCAAACAGGAUUAGAUACCCUUGUAGUCCCUGAGCGGGCUGGCAAGGCGCAU